rnacentral:rRNA from 1 species
UACGUAGGGACCGAGCGUUGUCCGGAAUCAUUGGGCGUAAAGCGCGUGUAGGCGGCCCUGUAAGUCGGGUGUGAAAUCCCACGGCUCAACCGUGGAAGUGCAUUCGAAACUACAGGGCUAGAGUUCUGGAGAGGAAGGUGGAAUGCUCGGUGUAGAGGUGAAAUUCGUAGAUAUCAAGCGGAACACCGGUGGCGAAGGCGGCCUUCUGGACAGUAACUGACGCUGAGACGCGAAAGCGUGGGGAGCAAACAGG